CAAUGUAACAGUGAAUUCGUUCUGCCAGCGGAGGAUGUAGCUUACGGGAGAACUUGGAUGGUGGAUCGCGUCAGAUAUUUGUAGGAAAUGCAAUUGAAAACGACGUCGUUUCUCGAAGUGUUGCGCCACGCCACUCCCUGUUUCUUGCGAGGGGAUAAAAUAAAUAAACAUCCCCGCGUAGAAACCUCCACUGGACACACAACUCACAGAAAUGGCGACUCUGGAUAUCUCGAGAGCCCUAUUCUCUCUCCUCCCUCCCAUUCCUAGGGUUUCUUUCUCUCUUCUCUCUCCUCCGCCUGUCUUCGCCACCUCCUCUUCACACUCUCUCUCCCUUGCCCUCACUCUCCCUCACCUCCAUCGUCAGCGGACUCUUCCUCCAUGCAUUUCACGGCAGACAAAUGCACAGUUCUCCGACGAUACCGGGGCAUCAGAAUCAGAAGAAUUUUUAGAAGAAGAAGAAGAAGACGACGAAGCUGAUGACUCUGAUGGUGGCGUUGAUAAUGAUGAUGAUGAUGAUGAUGAUGAUGAUGAAGAGGUUGCAAACCGAAGUUAUUCACUCGAUGUCGAUGCGCUCGAGGAAGAAGCGAAGCAUGCUGUUCGAGAGUAUUCUCGAUUUUUGUCACGCCAAUUGAGCAUCGAGGAGGAUGGGGCAAAUGAGUUAAAGGGAAGGGGUGGAAAGCAGAAGAAGAGUAAAAGUACGACUAGAAAUGUUAUUCCUGACCAUCUUCUUCCGAGGGUUACCAUUGUUGGGAGGCCAAAUGUUGGUAAAUCGGCAUUAUUCAAUCGUCUUGUUGGGGGUAACAAGGCAAUUGUAGUGGAUGAACCUGGUGUUACUCGUGAUCGCCUCUAUGGUAGAGCCUUUUGGGGAGAUUAUGAAUUCAUGGUGAUAGAUACUGGAGGUGUCCUCACAAUUUCAAAAUCACAAGAUAAUGUUAUGGAAGAAUUAGCUAUUACAAAAACCAUUGGUAUGGAUGGGAUUCCACUUGCCUCCAGGGAAGCAGCUGUUGCAAGGAUGCCUACAAUGAUUGAGAAACAAGCUACUGCAGCUAUAGAAGAAUCAUCUGUUAUUAUAUUUCUUGUCGAUGGCCAGGCAGGUCUAUCAGCAGCUGAUGUGGAAAUAGCAGAUUGGCUACGUAAAAAUUACUCAAACAAGUGUAUUGUUCUUGCUGUGAACAAGUGUGAAUCUCCAAAGAAAGGAAUCAUGCAAGCAUUAGAAUUUUGGUCCUUGGGGUUUACUCCACUUCCCAUAUCUGCUGUAUCUGGGACUGGAACUGGAGAGCUGCUUGAUCUUGUUUGUUCAGGAUUAAAAAAAAUAGAGGAUCCUGAGAAUCUUGAUGGAGAAGAAAAUUAUGUUCCUGCAAUUGCAAUUGUUGGACGACCAAAUGUUGGUAAAAGUAGCAUUUUGAAUGCAUUAGUUGGAGAGGACAGAACAAUUGUCAGUCCAGUUAGUGGUACUACACGUGAUGCUAUUGAUACUGAAUUUACUGGACCAGAUGGCCAGAAGUACCGGCUUAUUGAUACUGCUGGAAUCAGAAGAAGGGCAGCCGUAGCCUCAUCAGGUAGCACAACAGAGGCUUUAUCAGUUAAUCGAGCAUUUCGUGCUAUUCGUCGUUCUGAUGUUGUGGCUCUUGUGAUUGAGGCCAUGGCCUGUAUCACAGAACAGGACUAUAGGAUUGCUGAGAGGAUUGAAAGAGAAGGGAAGGGUUGCCUGAUUGUUGUAAACAAAUGGGAUACUAUACCAAAUAAAAACCAACAGACUGCAACAUAUUACGAGCAGGAUGUCAGGGAGAAGCUUCGUGUUCUAGGUUGGGCACCUAUUGUCUAUUCAACCGCAAUAGCUGGUCAUAGCGUUGAUAAGAUCAUUGUUGCGGCGAGUACAGUUGAAAAGGAGAGAUCAAGAAGGCUAAGUACUUCCAUAUUGAAUCAAGUGGUGCAGGAAGCUCUUGCGUUUAAAUCACCUCCAAGGAACAGAGGUGGGAAGAGAGGACGUGUUUAUUAUUGUACUCAGGCAGCUAUUAGGCCACCUACAUUUGUUUUUUUUGUUAAUGAUGCUAAACUUUUCCCUGAAACUUAUCGGCGUUAUAUGGAGAAGCAACUACGUUCAGAUGCUGGGUUUUCUGGUACACCAAUUCGACUUUUAUGGCGGAGUAGAAGAAAAAUAGAGAAGAAUGGAGCCCGAGCUGCAUCAGCAAAAACACAAGCAAACCUGGCACCACGUGGCAGAAAACUGAUAGCUGCUACAUGAAUUGACAUCACGUUGUGGCAUUAGCUGACUUGAAUCAGACUUUGCUUCUGUGUUCCGGAAACAAAACACAAGCGUCUGGCUAUCAAUCUUGAAGACAAACUUGACAAGGUUCUAUGAAGAGGAUCUGACAUAUAAAAAUCCCUGGAGAAGUAGACGAAAGCGCAUAUUGUAGCAGGCAAAUCAGGUGUGAUGGGUUUCUCGAACUACUCUUUGAACAAGUGUAAUGGUGUUUAUAUCAUGUAAUCUUUAUAUUAGAAUUCAAAGAACUUGGCUUAAGAUCAAACUCCCAUGAAGAUGGAUGGGGCACCCAUUUUCCAAUAAUUGGGGUUCAAUUCCACACCUACCAUCUUGACCCACUUGGCUGCAUGCUAAAUGGAUUGAUUUGAGCGGUGAGGAAAUUGCAAUCACUUAUUCGACUAAACAAAAUUUUUAGUUCA